rnacentral:rRNA from 1 species
UACGUAGGGGGCGAGCGUUGUCCGGAUUUACUGGGCGUAAAGCGCGUGUAGGCGGUCCUUUAAGUCGGGUGUGAAAGCCCGGGGCUCAACCCCGGGAUGCCGCCCGACACUGGGGGACUUGAGGUCGGAAGAGGGGAGUGGAAUUCCAGGUGUAGCGGUGAAAUGCGUAGAGAUCUGGAGGAACACCCGUGGCGAAGGCGGCUCCCUGGUCCGGUUCUGACGCUGAGACGCGAAAGCGCGGGGAGCGAACGGG